rnacentral:rRNA from 1 species
CCUACGGGUGGCAGCAGUGGGGGAUAUUGCACAAUGGGGGCAACCCUGAUGCAGCGACGCCGCGUGGGCGAAGAAGUAUUUCGGUAUGUAAAGCCCUAUCAGCAGGGAAGAAGAUAUGACGGUACCUGAGUAAGAAGCACCGUCUCAAUACGUGCCAGCAGCCGCGGUAAUACGUAUGGUGCAGGCGUUAUUAGGAUUUAGGGGGUGUAAAGGGAGAGCAUGCGGCAAGGCAAGCCUGAUGUGAAAGCCCACGGCCCAACCGGGGGACUGCAUGGGGAACUGCCGGGCUGGAGUGCCGGAGAGGUAGGUGGAAUUCCUAGUGUAGCGGUGAAAUGCGUAGAGAUUAGGAGGAACACCAGUGGCGAAGGCGGCCUACUGGACGGUGACUGACGCUGAGGUUCGAAAGCGUGGGGAGCAAACAGGAUUAGAUACCCUUGUAGUC